GGAAGGGCAAGCCAACUGGCGAUGGCAACCGCCUCGAACGCGGCCGAGCGUCCUGUGAUGUCUUGAGGGUUCGACUCCCUCUCCUUCCG
rnacentral:tRNA from 1 species